UACGUAGGUGGCGAGCGUUGUCCGGAUUUACUGGGCGUAAAGGGAGCGUAGGCGGAUUUUUAAGUGAGAUGUGAAAUACUCGGGCUCAACUUGAGUGCUGCAUUUCAAACUGGAAGUCUAGAGUGCAGGAGAGGAGAAUGGAAUUCCUAGUGUAGCGGUGAAAUGCGUAGAGAUUAGGAAGAACACCAGUGGCGAAGGCGACUUUCUGGACUGUAACUGACGCUGAGGCACGAAAGUGUGGGGAGCAAACAGG
rnacentral:rRNA from 1 species